rnacentral:rRNA from 1 species
GACGUAGGGCGCGAGCGUUGUCCGGAUUUAUUGGGCGUAAAGAGCGUGUAGGCGGCCAGACAGGUCCGUUGUGAAAACUCGAGGCUCAACCUCGAGAUGUCGAUGGAAACCGUCUGGCUAGAGUCCGGAAGAGGAGUGUGGAAUUCCUGGUGUAGCGGUGAAAUGCGCAGAUAUCAGGAAGAACACCUAUGGCGAAGGCAGCACUCUGGGACGGUACUGACGCUGAGACGCGAAAGCGUGGGGAGCGAACAGG